AAGGUUUUAAGUUAAGUUAAACUAAUAUCCUUCAAAGCUAUCAAUAAAGGAAUUUCUUUUAAGCCUUA
rnacentral:tRNA from 1 species